CCUACGAGGGGCAGCAGUGAGGAAUAUUGGUCAAUGGCCGCAGGGCUGCACCAGCCAAGUCGCGUGAGGGAUGACGGUCCUAUGGAUUGUAAACCUCUUUUGUCAGGGAGCAAAGGGCGCCACGUGUGGCGUUUUGCGAGUACCUGAAGAAAAAGCAUCGGCUACCUCCGUGCCAGCAGCCGCGGUAAUACGGAGGAUGCGAGCGUUAUCCGGGUUUAUUGGGUUUAAAGGGUGCGCAGGCGGAAUGUCAAGUCAGCGGUAAAAGUUCGGGGCUAAACCCCGUCGUGCGGUUGAAACUGGCGUUGUUGAGUGAGCGAGAAGUAUGCGGAAUGCGUGGUGUAGCGGUGAAAUGCAUAGAUAUCACGCAGAACUCCGAUUGCGAAGGCAGCAUACCGGCGCUCAACUGACGCUCAUGCACGAAAGCGUGGGUAUCGAACAGGAUUAGAUACCCGGGUAGUC
rnacentral:rRNA from 1 species